GGAGGCUUAGCUCAGCCGGUAGAGCGCUUGCUUCACACGCAAGAGGUCACAGAUUCGAGUUCUGUAGUCUCCACCA
rnacentral:tRNA from 12 species